rnacentral:tRNA from 1 species
GGGCCCGUAGUAAAGUGGUAUUACGCAGCUUUCGCAUUGCUGAGGCAGGGGUUCGAUUCCCCUCGGGUCCACCA